rnacentral:rRNA from 1 species
GGUAGCUUGCUACUGAUCUUAGCGGCGGACGGGUGAGUAAUGCUUAGGAAUCUGCCUAUUAGUGGGGGACAACAUUUCGAAAGGAAUGCUAAUACCGCAUACGUCCUACGGGAGAAAGCAGGGGAUCUUCGGACCUUGCGCUAAUAGAUGAGCCUAAGUCGGAUUAGCUAGUUGGUGGGGUAAAGGCCUACCAAGGCGACGAUCUGUAGCGGGUCUGAGAGGAUGAUCCGCCACACUGGGACUGAGACACGGCCCAGACUCCUACGGGAGGCAGCAGUGGGGAAUAUUGGACAAUGGGCGGAAGCCUGAUCCAGCCAUGCCGCGUGUGUGAAGAAGGCCUUAUGGUUGUAAAGCACUUUAAGCGAGGAGGAGGCUACUUUAGUUAAUACCUAGAGAUAGUGGACGUUACUCGCAGAAUAAGCACCGGCUAACUCUGUGCCAGCAGCCGCGGUAAUACAGAGGGUGCAAGCGUUAAUCGGAUUUACUGGGCGUAAAGCGCGCGUAGGCGGCUAAUUAAGUCAAAUGUGAAAUCCCCGAGCUUAACUUGGGAAUUGCAUUCGAUACUGGUUAGCUAGAGUGUGGGAGAGGAUGGUAGAAUUCCAGGUGUAGCGGUGAAAUGCGUAGAGAUCUGGAGGAAUACCGAUGGCGAAGGCAGCCAUCUGGCCUAACACUGACGCUGAGGUGCGAAAGCAUGGGGAGCAAACAGGAUUAGAUACCCUGGUAGUCCAUGCCGUAAACGAUGUCUACUAGCCGUUGGGGCCUUUGAGGCUUUAGUGGCGCAGCUAACGCGAUAAGUAGACCGCCUGGGGAGUACGGUCGCAAGACUAAAACUCAAAUGAAUUGACGGGGGCCCGCACAA